rnacentral:rRNA from 1 species
AACGAACGCUGGCGGCAUGCCUAACACAUGCAAGUCGAACGAGACCUUCGGGUCUAGUGGCGCACGUGUGCGUAACGCGUGGGAACCUGCCCUUAGGUUCGGAAUCACUCCCCGAAAGGGGUGCUAAUACCGGAUAAUGUCUUCGGGCCAAAGAUUUAUCGCCUUUGGAUGGGCCCGCGUUGGAUUAGCUAGUUGGUAGGGUAAAAGCCUACCAAGGCGACGAUCCAUAGCUGGUCUGGGAGGAUGAUCAGCCACACUGGGACUGAGACACGGCCCAGACUCCUACGGGAGGCAGCAGUGGGGAAUAUUGGACAAUGGGCGAAAGCCUGAUCCAGCAAUGCCGCGUGAGUGAUGAAGGCCUUAGGGUUGUAAAGCUCUUUUACCCGGGAUGAUAAUGACAGUACCGGGAGAAUAAGCUCCGGCUAACUCCGUG